CGUGGGGCAAUUCUUCACAAAAAUGACUCUCUUAUAUUAAUAGAUGUUUAAACAUAUUUUAUAAAUAAAUUUUCAAACAAACUUUACUGCUUAUAAGAUGAACUUGGUGACUGGAUGGCCGAGUAGUAAUGCUCUCAGCCUGCCAUGCAGGAGGACCCGGGUUCUCGUAGAUCCUGAAAAGCUUUUCAGCAUGCUGGGCCCAGCCUGGCAAUUGCCCAUUCUUCACCAUCCAGCCUCCCUCCAUGGGUAUGAGUGCAGCCCGUGGUUGGAAUUGGCCCCGUCCCUUAGUAAUCUUGAGUGGAAAGAGGU
rnacentral:lncRNA from 1 species